CCCAAAAUCAAAGUUAAAGAAUGUGAUUAAGCCAGUGGCUCAGAUGAAACUAUCCAAGCAGUAGAUACAUCUCCUUUAAAUGUUGAUAUUUGGUUACUUUGUCAAUCAAACACAAUUUAAUAUUACUUUUGUAAUACAGUAAAUAGCCCAAAGUUAAGGCUCUCUUACAAACUAAUGCAACGUUUAACCUUAAAAUUAGUAACACAUCCAUGGCCACAUUUUGAGGAUACUGUAAAUAGAAAUGUAUUCUUAUGUAGUCAUAUAAUGUUCAAGAUAGCAUGCAUACAGUACGUCUUCGCAGGUCUGUGGAGAUCUUCACAAUUGCUGUAAUAAUAUGCGCAGAAUCUCAAACGUCAUUGGUCAUUGUACUUUGUACAUCAUGUACUUUUAAUGGAAUCUCAACUGCAAUCCAGGUAAUUUGGUUCUGCAAUCCAGGUAAUUUGGUUCUGCAAUCCAGGUCAUUUGGUUCUGCAAUCCAGGUCAUUUGGUUCUGCAAUCCAGGUCAUUUGGUUCUGCAAUCCAGGUCAUUUGGUUCUGCAAUCCAGGUAAUUUGGUAUUUCCAUAUAAAACUUUGCUGUGAUUUUAAAUGGCUUAAAACGCAGUGAUAGACAUUUGGUUGAUGACUAAACCAAAAGCCAGACGUUGCUUUUCCAUUGGAAUUUGGUUGUGCUUUUAGAUGGUUGAAAGCAUAGAGAUAGCCCAUUUCAAAAUGUUUUGAUUGGGUGAAUAUAGGUUGUAAUUUCAUUGAUCAACGUCCCAACCAAAUAUUACUGAUUUAUCCACAUUGAAAUGACGUGGUAUGCCCAUGGGCAGUGUGUUUGUGCUAUUAUGCCCCUCCUCAUCAUGCCAACAUGAUGAGGAGUUAACAUGAUAGCUAAACUGGGAGCAGGCUAAUAUAUUUGUCAGUUUAAUGGUAUGAAGUAUGACAUCGCAUGGUAUGGAAUGUUCUAUUUAGAGAUGUCAUCCAAUUAAUUAAAAAGAGAUGAUGAAAACA